AUUAUACUGAGUGUGAGCAGCCAGACCAAAACCUCUGUGAUGGCCAAGAACAAGGACUGGUGACUAGAACUUCAGCACUGUGGUGAAGGGUCCUGGAAGCAGAUAUCCUGCUGUGUUCCUGAUCUCGGAGGCAAUAAAACUGAAGCUUAAGAGAGGACCCAAGAUGGUGGAAUAGGUAAACACUGAGUUUGCC